GAGUUGUAGAAGAGAAAUGUAAAACGAAGCAGCUUAGUUUGGAGUUUCUAAUUGGAAGUAUAGGAGUACGAGAAAGAGAAAGGGUACAUGAAAGAGAGAGAAUGUUUUUAGUAUUGAUAGUAUGGUUAGCACGAUUAAAAGGUUUACAGAGAGGAGGUGAUGGAAGGGGCUUAUGGAAUAUUUGAUAAUGUUCACUAGAAAAGGACGGGGUUGACGAAGGACAGGGAAGACGAAUUGAAGCCAUGGAGUGAGUUGGGACUCCUCUCACCUCUCAGAGAGGAUCG
rnacentral:misc_RNA from 1 species